rnacentral:rRNA from 1 species
CCUACGGGAGGCAGCAGUGAGGAAUAUUGGUCAAUGGACGAGAGUCUGAACCAGCCAAGUAGCGUGAAGGAUGACUGCCCUAUGGGUUGUAAACUUCUUUUAUAAAGGAAUAAAACGAGGCACGUGUGCCUUUUUGCAUGUACUUUAUGAAUAAGGAUCGGCUAACUCCGUGCCAGCAGCCGCGGUAAUACGGAGGAUCCGAGCGUUAUCCGGAUUUAUUGGGUUUGAAGGGAGCGUAGAUGGGUUGUUAAGUCAGUUGUGAAAGUUUGCGGCUCAACCGUAAAAUUGCAAUUGAUACUGGCAGUCGUGAGUACAGUUGAGGUAGGCGGAAUUCGUGGUGUAGCGGUGAAAUGCUUAGAUAUCACGAAGAACUCCGAUUGCGAAGGCAGCUUACUAAACUGCCACUGACAUUGAUGCUCGAAAGUGUGGGUAUCAAACAGGAUUAGAUACCCUGGUAGUC